AUAUAUAUACUAGAUAAGGCCCGC
rnacentral:siRNA from 1 species